AUUGGCUUCGGCAGUACAUAUAUACUAAAAUUGGAAUGGUAUAGAGAAGAUUAGGAUAACCCCGUAUGUAAUGAUACCACGCAAAAUCGUGAAGCGUUCCACAUUUUA